AUGGAGAUCUGCCCUCCUUCGUCGCCCCGCUUGCCUGGCGUGGUGUCCUACUUCCGCUUGCCUGUCCCCGGGUCACCGACACUGGUCCUUGUGAAUCUCCGCGCGCCCUGGAGCUGGUCAUGGUCUACCUCGCCACCUCCGUGGCUCGCCGCACUCCUCACCAGCCUCCCGUCAGAGCGACUGGCUGGUGCGCUCCAGGGCGGGAGCGGAGGUAACGGAGCCCACCGCCGCUCAGCGUGCGGAGCAGCAUAUUGCGGCACUCAACCUGGAUCCAGCAGUGACAGCUGCUCUGUAGGCGGGGGGACAGGGACCGGCUAG
rnacentral:rRNA from 1 species